rnacentral:rRNA from 1 species
GACGAACGCUGGCGGCGUGCUUAACACAUGCAAGUCGAGCGGUAAGGCACCUUCGGGUGUACACGAGGGCGAACGGGUGAGUAACACGUGAGUAACCUGCCCUUCUCAUCGGAAUAAGCGUUGGAAACGACGUCUAAUGCCGAAUAUGACUUCGGACCGCAUGGUCUGAAGUGGAAAGCUCCGGCGGAGAAGGAUGGACUCGCGGCCUAUCAGCUAGUUGGUGAGGUAACGGCUCACCAAGGCGACGACGGGUAGCCGGCCUGAGAGGGUGACCGGCCACACUGGGACUGAGACACGGCCCAGACUCCUACGGGAGGCAGCAGUGGGGAAUAUUGGACAAUGGGCGCAAGCCUGAUCCAGCAACGCCGCGUGAGGGAUGACGGCCUUCGGGUUGUAAACCUCUUUCAGCAGGGACGAAGCGAAAGUGACGGUACCUGCAGAAGAAGGACCGGCCAACUACGUGCCAGCAGCCGCGGUAACAC